rnacentral:rRNA from 1 species
AGUGAACGCUGGCGGUAGGCCUAACACAUGCAAGUCGAACGGCAGCACAGUAAGAGCUUGCUCUUACGGGUGGCGAGUGGCGGACGGGUGAGGCAUACAUCGGAAUCUACUUUUUCGUGGGGGAUAACGUAGGGAAACUUACGCUAAUACCGCAUACGACCUACGGGUGAAAGCAGGGGAUCUUCGGACCUUGCGCGAUUGAAUGAGCCGAUGUCGGAUUAGCUAGUUGGCGGGGUAAAGGCCCACCAAGGCGACGAUCCGUAGCUGGUCUGAGAGGAUGAUCAGCCACACUGGAACUGAGACACGGUCCAGACUCCUACGGGAGGCAGCAGUGGGGAAUAUUGGACAAUGGGCGCAAGCCUGAUCCAGCCAUACCGCGUGGGUGAAGAAGGCCUUCGGGUUGUAAAGCCCUUUUGUUGGGAAAGAAAAGCAGCAGGUUAAGACCCCGCUGCUCUGACGGUACCCAAAGAAUAAGCACCGGCUAACUUCGUG